ACAUACAAAACGAGUGUGCCCGGUACAAAAGCUACCUACGGUCCUUCCAGGGCAACAUCAAAACACUGCUCCAAGGAGAGGUGUUAGAGGUAUCCUGCAGUACACCUGUGCAACCAGCACCUCACAGACCAGUGAAGAGACAACCCUUCCAUGGCCAGAUGGAAAGAUCCAUAUUGGGGGUGGAGCCUACAUUUCUGCAGGGACCUGGAGCUGGAUUAGAGGAGCCAAAAAUGACUCCCGGUUCUGCAAGAACCUUGCCGUAGCCAUCUGGGUCCAGACUCAAAGGCCAAGGAGCUGU